rnacentral:rRNA from 1 species
UACAGAGGUCUCAAGCGUUGUUCGGAUUCAUUGGGCGUAAAGGGUGCGUAGGCGGCGCGGUAAGUCGGGUGUGAAAUCUCGGGGCUUAACUCCGAAACUGCAUUCGAUACUGCCGUGCUUGAGGACUGGAGAGGAGACUGGAAUUUACGGUGUAGCGGUGGAAUGCGCAGAUAUCAGGAAGAACACCAACGGCGAAGGCAGCUCGCUGGGACGGUACUGACGCUGAGACGCGAAAGCGUGGGUAGCAAACAGG